ACCUGCCCUCGUCUUCGGGAUAACUACUGGAAACGGUGGCUAAUACCGAAUAUUCACUUCCUGUCGCAUGGUGGGUGGUGGAAAGUUUUUCGGACGAGGAUGGGCUCGCGGCCUAUCAGCUUGUUGGUGGGGUGAUGGCCUACCAAGGCGACGACGGGUAGCCGGCCUGAGAGGGUGACCGGCCCACACUGGGACUGAGAUACGGCCCAGACUCCUACGGGAGGCAGCAGUGGGGAAUAUUGCACAAUGGGCGAAAGCUGAUGCAGCGACGCCCGCGUGAGGGAUGACGGCCUUCGGGUUGUAAACCUCUUUCAGCAGGGGAAGAAGCGAAAGUGACGGUACCUGCAGAAGAAGCGCCGGCUAACUACGUGCCAGCAGCCGCGGUAAUACGUAGGGCGCAAGCGUUGUCCGGAAUUAUUGGGCGUAAAGAGCUCGUAGGCGGUUAGUCGCGUCUGCUGUGAAAACUCGAGGCUCAACCUCGGGCUUGCAGUGGGUACGGGCUGACUAGAGUGCGGUAGGGGUGACUGGAAUUCCUGGUGUAGCGGUGGAAUGCGCAGAUAUCAGGAGGAACACCGAUGGCGAAGGCAGGUCACUGGGCCGCAACUGACGCUGAGGAGCGAAAGCAUGGGGGAGCGAACAGGAUUAGAUACCCUGGUAGUCCAUGCCGUAAACGUUGGGCACUAGGUGUGGGGUCCAUUCCACGGAUUCCGUGCCGCAGCAAACUGCUAUUAAUUGCCCCGCCUGGGGAGUACGGCCGCAAGGCUAAAACUCAAAGAAAUUGACGGGGGCCCGAACAAGCGGCGGAGCAUGCGGAUUAAUUCGAUGCAACGCGAAGAACCUUACCAAGGCUUGACAUGCACCGGAAACUUCCAGAGAUGGUUGCCCCGUAAGUCGUGCACAGUGUGCAUGUUUUCGUCAGCUCGUGUCGUGAGAUGUUGGGUUAAGUCCCGCAACGAGCGCAACCCUCGUCCCCAUGUUGCCAGCGGGUUAUGCCGGGGACUCAUGGGAGACUGCCGGGGUCAACUCGGAGGAAGGUGGGGAUGACGUCAAAUCAUCAUGCCCCUUAUGUCUUGGGCUUCACGCAUGCUACAAUGGCCGGUACAAAGGGUUGCGAUACCGCGAGGUGGAGCGAAUCCCAAAAAGCCGGUCUCAGUUCGGAUUGGGGUCUGCAACUCGACCCCAUGAAGUCGGAGUCGCUAGUAAUCGCAGAUCAGCAACGCUGCGGUGAAUACGUUCCCGGGCCUUGUACACACCG
rnacentral:rRNA from 1 species